rnacentral:rRNA from 1 species
UACGUAUGGGGCAAGCGUUAUCCGGAUUUACUGGGUGUAAAGGGAGCGCAGGCGGCCUGGCAAGCCUGAUGUGAAAUACCGGGGCCCAACCCCGGGGCUGCAUUGGGAACUGCCAGGCUGGAGUGCCGGAGAGGCAGGCGGAAUUCCUAGUGUAGCGGUGAAAUGCGUAGAUAUUAGGAGGAACACCAGUGGCGAAGGCGGCCUGCUGGACGGUGACUGACGCUGAGGCUCGAAAGCGUGGGGAGCAGACAGG